AACGCACCUUGCGCUCCUUGGUAUUCCGAGGAGCAUGCCUGUUUGAGUGUCAUUAAAUUCUCAACCUCACCAACUUUGUUGUGUGAAGGCUUGGAUGUGGGGGUUUGCAGGUCCGCACUCGUGUGGUCUGCUCCUCUAAAACGUAUUAGUGGGUUAGUCCCCUAAUCUAUUGGUGUGAUAAUUAUCUACGCCGUGGAUUUUGGAAGGCUAUCAUAGACCUGCUUCUAACAGUCCUCUGGACAACUUUGACAAUUUUGACCUCAAAUCAGGUAAGACUACCCGCUGAACUUAA
rnacentral:misc_RNA from 1 species